GCCAGAAUCUCAUAUAAGAUGUAAAAUAGUCGUUUAUCAAUUCUUACUCCACAGAACACAGCCAAUCCGUGUAUAGGGCUAGAAACAGCUGCACGAGCUAGGACUACUAGCAAAGCUUUAGCGGCAGACAAAGGCGUGUAUUAUUCAUAGAGAUCGGCUUAAGAUCCGCAUUGAAUGAUUUGUCAGCUAUGUGGAACAUAAGCAUGUGAAUGAGAAAUGGAUUUGCUUGAAAAAGAUGGCGAGUGAGAGAGAACGAGAAAGAUAUUAGGAAAAUGGGGUUACUAAUAGGGCAAAUCCUCAGCCUCUUGUGACGCUAUUUUGGAAAAAUCUCUAAAUGCAAUUGAUGAUCCUCCUUGGUCACCACCUGUGUCCGCUCCGUCCAAUUUUCCUCCUCAUCAAGACAACGGAUCUCCUCCCAUGUGUCCAACUGAGGCAAUUCAAUCUUGUAUCUCUCAGGGCGAUGGCGCACUGGUGUGUUUUUAAAGCUUACCUAAAGGGUAAAAAGGGUUAAGUAAAGAAAGUGCAAACUUAGUUCAGGAGAUAGUUAAUGCAGAUAACAGCUUAACAGCACAGGUAAAAGUAAUUUCUUUUAACAAAUUUGACGUUUUAUGAGUUCUAAAAAUGAAAUAAAGAAGUUGUUCUCUAAUGUACAUGUACAGUAUGUACAAUUAUAAUAAAAUUAACAAAAUAAACUGUGCGGGAAACAUUAUAUUUUAAUAGAUAUCUAUCUAAAUCUAGAAAUCUAAACGUUUGCACAUCAUAACUACUUAACAACGUUGGCCUUUUUAAUUAUUGACAUAUUUUUGUAUUUUAAUUGCAAGUAACGAUAGUAUAGCACAUGCAAUAAUAGAAGUAUCUUUUACAGUCGUUUACAGACGAAUAAUCACGUUUCCACCUAUAAAAACAUGUGGAACUCUUAUUAUAAAAAUAGAUUCACCGACACACUCGAUGGCAUCAGAAAAACCCGCGAUAAAACCCAUUGAUUCCACUCUUAUUUUAUUAUGAGUAAGUAUAACUUUACACCCAAAAGAACCAUGUUCAGUCAAGAGCUCGUACUAACAAAAUGUUAAAUUCUUCAAAUUUUCAUACUAUCCAUUUCAGAGGUAGUUGAUACAUAAUCAAGUGCAUUGUUACUUUACAACAGUCGAUGGCUUCACUAAGAAUAAAUAAUUAGUCUCAUCAA